ACACUCACUCACACACUCACACUCACACACUCACUCACACUCACACACUUACACUCACACUCACACACACACUCACACACACACACUCACACACAGAGAAGUUGCAGCGAGUGUAUAAAGGCUCUUUCAAACCAGACAAACGAAUACGGAAAAAAAUACUCACACACACUCACACUCACUCACUCACACUCACUCACUCACACUCACACACUCUCUCUCACACACACACACACACACACACACACACACACACACACACACACACACACACACACACACACACUCACACGCGCACAGACACUGAGAGUAGGUAGCUGCAAUGCUUACUGCUGUGUCUGAAUAGUCUAUAAUAAGUACUUUUCCUCUCCAACUGUUCUGAUGGUCAGAACCAACUUUAAUGCCUGGGUCGUGGCUCAGUUGACACGUUGUUUUGAUCAGUGUGGUCAGAACCAACUUUAAUGCCUGGGUCGUGGCUCAGUUGACACGUUGUUUUGAUCAGUGUGGUCAGAAGCUAGACGGCUUUAGUUGGAUCAGAGCUCAAUGCAGACUGGGGAACCAGGGAAAGGGGGAAAUGCAUGGUCUGUCUUGUCUGGAGACUUUCUGCCACCUGGUGGUGAAAUGGAGACCCUGCAGUGGCACGGUAACAGAGUAGUGCCCUCCCUUGGCUAUAAGGGAGUACUGUGGUUGUGGUUGUCGGUCUGUGUUCAUGAAGAGUCUCCCUUGGCUAUUCAGGAGUACUGUGGUAGUCGGUCUGUGUUCAUGUUGUGAUACAGCCUGGAAUCGAACCAGGGUCCGUAGUGACUCCUCUAGCACUGAGAUGCUAGACCGCUGCGCCACUCGGGAGCCCGUUAUAGAGGACUGUUGGUCUCGUGUACUUCAAUCAACAUGUAAUCCGACAAAAUGCAGAUUAGGAUCCAAACCCUCCAACAGACAAUGUUCUUGGAUCUCUCUUCUGUUCAGGCCCAGAAGACUUGUUCGUGGUUUAAGACCCUCUCUGCCUUGAGGGGUGAAGAACGUUCCCUCCUUCACGGGGACAACUUCCCUCCUCUUCAUCCCUGGCUUUCUCGUGUCUGUGGGACCAGAGUGAGAGAUUCGUGACGGCGGUCAACUGGGGCUCCACCCCUGCCACCCUAUACCUGGCCCUCAACCACUCUAUACCUGGCCCUCAACCACUCUAUACCUGGCCCUCAACCACUCUAUACCUGGCCCUCAACCACUCUAUACCUGGCCCUCAACCACCCAGACCUGGGUCUUCCACAGCAGGCUAAAGUCAAGCUGAGUACAGACCCUGAAACCCUGACCGCAGACAUCUCUGUCUCGCUGGAUAAACUGCUGCUGUCCUGUUGACCUUCCUCUUUGUUUAGGAGGAGGCUGAAACAGAGGCCAGACUACAACAGGCCAGAGUAAGAUACUGAUUAACACAACUUUUACACAGUGAGCAGAGGGACAAUGCAGUAAAGAUGUUUUACACCACAGAGAACUAGCAAAAGGGAAUGUACGGUGUGAGUUUUAGCUGGUGGUGAACAAAUAUGAUAAUAUGUUAGGCCAGGGUUGAGGGUAAGAUCUGAUAUGUUAGGCCAGGGUUGAGGGUAAGAUCUGAUCGGUUAGGCCAGGGUUGAGGGUAAGAUCUGAUCGGUUAGGCCAGGGUUGAGGGUAAGAUCUGAUCGGUUAGGCCAGGGUUGAGGGUAAGAUCUGAUCGGUUAGGCCAGGGUUGAGGGUAAGAUCUGAUCGGUUAGGCCAGGGUUGAGGGUAAGAUCUGAUCGGUUAGGCCAGGGUUGAGGGUAAGAUCUGAUCGGUUGUUUUUGUUUAGAUUCACUUUUAAAAUUAUAUAUAUAUAUUUUUUUACCUCAGUUAUUUAUGAAAUGUUGAACUGUUGGAGUUUGAAUUUGAAUAUGUAAACAGUGUUGAUUUUUGAAUCCGUGUUCCGGUGAAUAGUGCUGUUUUCGUGUCGGAGAAAGCAGGGCGCUUCUGCUUGAAGUUGUUCUGACUGAAAGUUGAACCGAGUAAUUUUGCCUGUUGACAGACAUCGACUCUGUCUCUGUCUCUUAUCCUACACAGAAUAAAGUGUGUGAUUCAUAUGUGUAUGCCUUCGUCUUACGCUCUGUGUGAGAGACGUUGGCCUAACGCCACACGCUUACCGUUAACCCUUGUUGGCACAGGAGCUUUACAGGUGUGAUUAAGUAUGUCAGAAAGAGAAGGGAUCUCAAGACGGUAUCUUAUGACCUUAUUAAACCU